rnacentral:piRNA from 1 species
CGGGGAAUUAUGCAGCUGGUCCGUAGUACAAUUUUCUUAAGAUGGGAGACGAAUUUACGAGUUUGAUCGAAUUCGACCCCCAAUAUGGUGAUAUUCUGGCUUAUGGUAAUAGGUAGGUUGUCCGAGAAUCUUUAACCCAGGAUCCGGGUUGGGGCGAACUCUCCUCCACUGGAAGAUGCAGGCCUGUGUCUUCCUGGGGUUGAGCUGGAGGCCAUUGUCAACACACCAAGCAGUCAUCCUAUCCAGAAAGUCGUUUAUAGCCACGACAGGCAAACAACCACGGACCUGUAUUAGGAGGGUGAAGUUGUUGGCAAAAGCCACUAGCGAACUUUCCCUGAUUUGAAAAAGCAGGAAUAGUUCGCGAGCGACCACAUUCCAGAGGAAGGGACUCAACGCAGAGCCUUGGGGUGUUCCCCGUGGAAUACGUGACUUCCCGGUCCUCGAGGAAACUUUUGCACGAGGCAAACCAGUGAGUCUGGGCAGAUUAGGCAAUCAAGGCUUUGGACAAUGCCCGGUCUCCAAAUGGUAUCGAAAGCCUUGCUGAUGUCCAGGCUUAUUGCCAGAGUCUUCCUCCAGUGUGACUGCCUGCUGUCGAUGAACUCUGUGAUUUUGGCCAGUGCAUCUUCUGCCGCAUGCCCAUGGACAAAUCCGAAUUGGUUGUCAGAAAACUAGCCGUGUCGAUCUGCCAGCCAUUGGAGUCUGGCCAGAAUACAUCUUUCAAACACCUUUGCUAAGUUGUUCAAAAGUGUAAUGGGUCUAUAUCUAUCUAGCUUGUUUGGGGCUGAGCUAGAAGGUUUAGGGAUAAGGAUGAGGCGUCCAGCUUUCCAGGGACGAGGGGAGUGGCCAAUUUUGAGGCACUUGGAAAAUAAUGUGGAAGUCUGGUUCAUCGGAGUAGGGUGGAGGAUCAUUUUUAGGUGGAUGUGGUCGAUUGUCUGGUGGAAGGAAAUGCUCCAGGACUGUGCGGCUUGUCUCCUCUGGAGUGAAGGGAGAGCCAUCAUUAUGCUGGAGGAGAGGAGGACCCCUGUUGGGUUUACGGCCCUGAGCUAUGAAGCGGUGUAUGGCGCUCCAAGCAGUGGCUGAAACUUCGUUGCAGAGGUUUAGCCAACAUUUACUCCUGGCUUUUCGUAUCGCUGCUUUGAGUCGAUUGUGGCAUGCUCGAUAGAGGCCACAGAAGAAACUCCGGAUUGGACUCUGUGUGCUCUGCGAGCAGCGAUGGAGGGAAAGGACUAGUUUUCUCAGGUUAGGCCUCUCAGGUGGGCCUAAGACGUGGAGGUCGUUAAGGCGGGCAAAGUCCUCAAGAUUUUCUCCACGUGAGUCAAGUCUGCCGUUGAUACCCCAGCAUGGGGAGUGAGCAUUGGCAUCCAUGCCUAUGAUCAUCAGAAAUGGGAACCUGUUGUUGAUGGAUUCAAUGUGAGGGAGAAAGUCGUCAGCGUCCCUUUGACCAUGCCAGUAUGCUGAGAUGACUGAGAUAGGACUGUGCCCCAGCCAGAUAGCAAUAGAUGUGAUAGCUGGGUCUGAAGACUCGAUGGGCAGCACUUGGAGAUAAGAGCGUGCUACUAUACCUGAAGGUAUAUAUGAACCAGGAGUAUUGAAGGUUUGAAAACCAGACGAGGGCCAGUUGAAGUGGGCAGGAAGUUCCUGUAGAAGCACCAGGUCGGCUCUAGUUGCCUCUGCCAAAUUAGAAAGCUCUAAGAUGGCAGAAGGAGAUUUGUGGGCGUUGGCCUGCAAGAUCCUUAAAGGUCUUUGUUUUAUAAGUUACUAGCGAACCCGGCCACGCGUUGCUGUGGCUAAGUUGUAAUAUGUUAAAUUAAUAUUAUACUAAACUAUUCAGUACAGUAAAGUUAAUAUUCACUUAUAAAGAUAAAAAUGUUUUAGCCGAUCUAAAGCCCUACGGGAUUGAGAAUGGAACGUUACGUUAAAAUUUGAAAGUGAUUUUUAUAUAUAUAAAUAAUAUAGCCCUUUAUUGUAAUUAUUGAUUAUAAUCACUGCAUUAAUAAAUGUCAGUGAACCUGUUUUUUUAUUUUUGAAUUAAUUGAUCUAGCCGAACCCGGGCAGACGUUGCCCUGCCUUUACGCACCUCUAUAUAUAUAAAAAUGGAUGCCUGUAUGUGUUUGUAAUCAAGAAUCUAGCAUGUGCUGGGGAAAAAUUAAAGAUGAGUCAUAAAGAAUUGAUGAAAAAAUAUAUAGAUUUUAUUAAUAGCAAUAUUUGAAUGAAUAUCAUAUUGUAUCAUAUGAAAACUAAUCUAUCGUAACGCGAGUGGAUACACAAUAUUUUUGGUCCUCUCGUUUGGUGCGUAGAUAUAUAGAUAUUUUGGCGUUCCAACUCGGGAGCAAGCGACGUAGAGUUGACCAUGUGAAAAACAUGGAUUUCCUAAAUGCAAACCGUCAACUCGCAGCGACUGCCCUUGGGAUUUGUUGAUUGUCAUUGCGAAAGCGAGACGCACGGGAAACUGAAGUCGCUUGAAUGUGAAGGGCAAAUCAGUGGGGAUCAUUGGAAUGCGCGGAAUGAGCACAUCCUCUCCUUUACAUUUGCCACUGAUUAUCGUCGUUUCAAUCACAUUCGGCAUCAACCUUUUUACGGAAAGUCUGGUUCCGUUGCACAACUUGGGUGUGUUGAGAUUCCGAAAAAGCAAUAUUGGCGAGCCAACUUUCAACGACAAUACAUGCGGUGGCAUUCCAGGAGGCUCCAAUGAAUUGAGAAAUUCGACUGGAUAAUUGACAGCUUGGUCCUCUUCUGUGACUGUGUCAUUAGAUUUGUAUUGCGUGACCGCUCCAGGAAUUUUCAAUUGAAUCUUAUGAUUGAUGCGAUUGACGUCAUUCUUCGGAGCUAAGAUAGCUCGCUCGCAAAGCCAGUCGUGAUUCUUGAAAUUAGUGGCAAUAUCCGGGAAAACUACCUUUUCAAGAUCUCCAAUUGACGCCUGAAGUUGACAGAAGUUCGGUGGGAACGAUAUCUCGUGUGUUGCAGGAUCAACCGGAAUUUUGCCGUCGCCCAUAUUCAAAAGCUGCUUGGCAAAUGUUUGUGCAGAAACAUCUCCAUGUAAAUGCACACGCAUAUUGGUCGACAGUGUAAUUUUCUUCACAUGUCUCCAGAGAGCCGAUUUCUUCAAGCAUGCGUUCAGCUCAUCUGCUGGUGUUGCUCUUGGAAUGACAGGCAAGAUUUGACGGAAAUCACCAGCGAGCAGUAUCAGAGCUCCACCCAUUAGGCGUUGAUUGCCUCGGAAAUCGCGAAGAGUACGAUCAAGUGCCUCAAGCGCUUUCUUGUGAGCCAUCGUACAUUCAUCCCAAAUGAUGAUUUGGCACGUUUUCAACACAGUGGCCAUUCCUGAUGUUUUUCCGAUGUUGCAGAGAGGAACGUCGGCUAUAUUCAAAAUUCAAUGGCAGCUUGAAUGCCGAAUGCGCCGUACGUCCUCCAUCGAGCAGUGUUGCCGCAAUUCCCGACGAUGCCACAGCCAGAGCAAUCUCAUGUUUCAUACGAAUUUCGGCGAGAAUCAAAUUGAGCAAAAAUGUUUUCCCAGUUCCUUCUGGGGCAUCAAGGAACAGAAGACCACCAUUUCCGGUUCGCACAUGCUCCGUGACUGUGUUGCACGCAAGGUUUUGUUCGUUUGUUAAGAGUCUUUUCUGAGUCUCAACAUAAACUUGCAGCGUAUCAGCGUCGUAUUGCAUUUCUCGCAACAUAUCUCUGUCGACAGCAUCAUUUCUGCCACGCUCGGGUGAGAUCAAGCCAAGCUGAUUGAGGAUUUUGUUGUUGAUCGACAAGCAUAUAUCCUCAAGUGAUAUCAGCGCUUCAUUGAAAAUUUCAUCCGAAUUCUGCGCAUUGGGGUUAGCACUACGUACACGGCGAAGUAUGUCUUCGCUCAUACUCUCUUUAUGCUUCUCCCAUAGGCCUUUUGGGUCUGAAGGCGAGCAGGUUGUCAAAAUGAUAGCAAACAGAGUUCGUAUUUGCUUAGGAUGACAUGUUUCAGAUGCUUCUGCCAGUGUGUUGUCCCAAUGCUGAUCAUUUUCAAGCAGACCAAGCUUGAAGCAUGCCUCUCUAUAUGUCUGACAGAUUUGGCCGUUGACGGUUUUGAUAGCUUCGAACGAUUUCGGUCCUUUGACUACAUGAAGCAGCAUUCGCAAAUAGUAGCAUUCAGCAUUGCUCGGAUGGACAGUAUACACUCGCCCCAAUGCGCCAGUGGAAAACACCUGAACCAUUGAAGAGUGCAGCAUGCCUUGUUUUCUCCGUUGCCACUUCUUCGUUGACUGAUUCCAUGUGUAAUACGUCGGAACCUCAUGAUACAGUAAUGUUGCAGCGAAUGUGUCACUGGCACACAAUUGAAAAAAUAUAGUCAACGUUGUAUUGGGUGGAUUUUCAGCUCGCUGGGCUGCGCUCUCUUCUGUGAAGUAUACUCGUUGACCAUUUUCCAAAUGCACACUGAGAUGGACGACAGCAGGAGAGCGUUCGUGGAUGUCAAAGCCAAGGAUUCGCCAUACAGCUUCAUUGCUGCUGAUAUAACGUCCCAUUUGAAACUGGUCGAUUUCAUUGACGGGUGCAUUUGGAUUUUGAAGUCCAAAAACUGCCAUAUCACUGCCCUUAUUCACGUAUUUACAAAUGUAUUUGAUCAAUUUGACAGAAUUGCAAUACUCCACGUUGAUAUGCGCAUCAAAUGCUUUCGAGAGCAAAGGAGAGUAAGGCACAAUCCACCGGUUAUCAACCUCAAAAUCAACGUGAUUGAGUUUGAUUGUUGCUGUGUGGCCACCAUCCUCUGGUUUUCGUCGUCUGUACAGAGGAUAACCGUCGCCACCAGUUUGUGUGUCAUGCACCCGGUCUCUUGGAUACUUUUUGGUGCAUUUGCCGUCCUUUAUGCACGGUGAAUGUGGGUUUUGCGCUCCACACGGUCCGUGAAUCAUAUAUUUCUUGAUAAUCUGGUACAAUUCAGGAUCUUCUUGUGGAUCAGGCAGCUCAGCAGAAAUGAUAUUAUCGAUUUGAGUUGGAAGAAUUUUUUCCUCCAACCAAAUCAAGAUGUGAGCAUGUGGAGUGCCUCUUUUUUGCCAUUCGAUGGAAUACAUCCAGCAGCGUGUUGGACCGUAUAUAUGGUUCUUAACGAUGAGAUCAAUAAAACAUUUCAAUUUCUGUUUGAAAACUCUCGCUGUGAGGUCAUGCCGAUGAGAUGACUGUUGGCCAGGCAGAAGUAGAUUUUUGAUUUCGGCCCAUGCUGGAUUGCAAGUGAAUGUGAGGAAAAGAUCUGGACGUCCAUAUGUGCGAACAUAAGUCAUAGCAUCCUGAGCAUAUUCAUGCAUAUGUCUCGGACUUCCAGCGUACGAAGCUGGAAGUAUGACCAUUUGCCCAAUGUUCGCAGCAGCAGCGGCUCCAUCAUUCGCGAUUGCAUCCCGCAAAUGAAUGUAUUGGUCAGCUCGAAGCUUUGACUGAUUGAAGCGAAUGUAGUUGAGACGUUCGCUUUCGACUUUGGCAUACAUGUCAACGAUGAAUUGUUGGAAAAGUUGACGACACUUCAGGAUGUGGUUGGAUUCUUGGGCUCGAAUCAUGAUGCGAUAUGCAUAGAAGUCCAUACAGCUGACUUUUUUCAUUGUCACGGCGCCUGAGAUAGGAUGAACUUGAUACAGUUCGAGAUGAUAUCCGUCUUCACCGCGCGGAAAAAGUAUUGGAUAUUGAAGGGCGUCGUACGAUCGGUGCAACACGUUGCUUGGUUCCAUCUCGUCUGCAGAUAACAAUAUCUCGUCGGGCGAUCUCUGUACCGACAAUCACAGCUGCUACUUCAGGAGUCAUCGGAGCAUUGAAGCGUCGUUCAUGCUCAUUCGUCGGCGUCUUGUCUGCCCUGAUGAUGACUUUCAUAUCCGCUCGCACAUUCUCUACUGUGGAUUUGAAGUCUCGGACCAAACAGUUGUGCUCGUGGAAUAGCGUUUGUAAUUCAGCGAUGAUUGCCCGCCUUGUUGCUUUACUGAAUGCGCAUCGUCGAUCAAUCUCCUCCUCCACGUUGUCCAUGAAAUAAAUCUGCAAAAACCUCGGAUCUUCAUUGGGUACUGGAAGAAGUGAACCAAUCUGAUGGUACACUUGCCCUUGCACUUUGAAUGUGGGCUCGAAAUUUCCAAAACGCUCAAUAUGCGUUGCUCCAAACGAUGUCAUUUGGAAGCAUGAGUUGUACUUCCGAAUAUGCUGAAGGAAAUGUUUCGACUCCCGAGUUGCUCCAGCUACGUAUGUUAGAAGUGGCUGUGGCGGCUCAACCAUCGGAGGCAAAUUGACUUUCCCAUUGGAGCAACACAUCCUGGGCGUUUCCUUCUGAAACUUCAAUGCAUGACAGUGUAGACUGCAUUUUAGCGUUUUUAAUACGUUCUCUUCUUUCUUUAAUGCUCAUUCUGCGCGCAGCAAGACAUUCUGUGUUUUUAUGAUCUUUAUUACAAAAGAUACAAUUCUGGGCACGUCCAGCAAAGAGUCCAGAGGCCGUAGGUAUCUUAGCAGGAUGUGAUUGUCUGCCCACAUUUCUAUCCUGUUUCAGAGAUUUGAGUCCAAACUUGGAUCCAGCUAAGGCUCUGUCUUGUUCUGCUGCAGCUUCCUUUUGGAGAAACUCCAUAAUUAGGUCAACUCUAGUUUGAGUCGAAUCAUUAGCAUCAAUCUUGACAUCAUGGAGGGGGCUUCUUUGCCAAGCCUUCAUGAGUUCUUCUGAGAGACAUGCCUCAAUCAUUGGAAAUAUAAAUACAGAUAUCUGUCUGGCCUCAAUCUUUAAGGAUUCCAAUGCUCUCAAAUGAGUCGCCAACUCAUCAUAAAAUGAAGUCACCUUCAACUGUUGUUUGGAGGAGCAGUCGAUCAUAAGGCGGAUAAGAUCCCUGACAUAGACUUGUUGCAACAGUUCAGGCCUUCCAAAUCGUUUGUCAAAGUUUCUAUGACUUUGGGGUAAUUCUCGGCAGUCAGGGGGUAACUAUCAACCAGUUUACUAGCUCUGGUUCCCGGCGACAUAGAUUGCGCAAGAUAUUGAAACUUGUCGCUGUCUUCUAAAGUGGGAUCGACAUGUAUCUUGUUGAACUGUGCCCACCAUCCCAACCAAUCUUUUAUUUCUCCUGUAAACUUCUUCAAUUCUAUCUUGGGUAGUUUUACAGUUCUCUGGUGUGAGCUAGAAGCGAAGCUCACUUCACUGGUUGUGGGACUGGAUGCAGUGAUCUUAGGUUCAACAAGAGCGAGACAUUUGUUAUAUAUCCUCAUAUCUACGGGUAUAUUGCAAGGAUUCCUUUUGUGGUAAGCAGAUAAAAGAGGAGAAAAUGUAUUUAAAGUAAGUAUUUAUUAGGUAAAAGAUAAGACGUUAUACCAAAACAAAACAACUACAUGGGGAAGAUUAGGGUGGCUUCUUUUUUUUGUCUGUGGCUCCUCCAGGCGGUGGCGCCAGGAACUAAAAUGACGUCACGUGUCGUCUUGCUUUCACUCUUCAACACUUCCACUUGAAAGCAAGGCAGACAUUCCAAUGUCUUUAAAAAGUCUUUUAAAGCGUGUUGCUGGUAGAGCCUUUGUGAGAAGAUCAGCCAAUUGGUCUUCUGUUGGACAGUUGAAUAUCUUGAUGAUUUUCAUUUUGUGCUGUUCACGUAUAAAGUGAAACUUGACAUCAACAUGUUUAGUGCGCUUGUGAAAUUCUGGGUUCAAGAUCAGUCUAAUAGCACUCUGGUUGUCAAUCAUCAAAGGAACAGGAUUAUCAUUGGGUGUCAGUUCCUUGAUCAGUAGUUUAAGCCAUACAGCUUCCCUUGAAGCCAUGCUUGCUGCAAUGUAUUCGGCUUCUGUGGUAGAUAAAGCCACAACUGAUUGUCUUUGGUUAUAGAAUGCCUGAGUCCAAAGUUCCUUUCAAAUAUUUGAAGAUUCUUUUCAGAGCAUUCCAAUGUGUGAGAACAGGAGCUGCCAUGAAUCUACUUAGCUUGUUAACGGCGAAAGCUAUGUCAGGUCUUGUACAGACGGCAAGAAACAUCAAACAUCCAAUAGCUUCAGCAUAUGGAACGUUAUGCAUGUCAUGAGUAUCAUUGAUGUUCUCUCUUGUCAAUUUCAUGUUGGGGUCAACAGGAGUCCCUGAAGAAUUGCAUGAAGUCAUGUUGAAUUUAUCAAGUAUUCUUUUUAUAUAACUGGUUUGACUUAGAAAUAUGAGGCCUUUUUCUUUAUCUAUCUCUAAGCCUACAAACUGGUUUUGUGUGGAGAUGGUGACUUCAAAAUGUGAGGACAGAUAUUGGGCUAAUUCCUUCAACAGGUUGUUAGAAGUACUCAUCAUUAUACCAUCAUCUACAUAAAGAGCUAAGAAUAUUUUCGCAUCAGUCUUAGUUUGGUAGAACACACAUGGAUCAGCUUGUGAUUGGGUUAACUGAAAUUGUUUUAAGAAAUAUGUGAAUUUCUCAUUCCAGAUUCUGGGUGAUUGUUUUAGUCCAUAUAAACUUUUCUUUAGUUUACAAACCAAGUUUUUAUUUUCAACUUCUAUUCCUUCUGGAAUUUGCAUAUAGAUAUCUUCGUCAAGAUCACCAUUAAGAAAAGCAGUCUUUAUGUCGAAUUGCAUAAUUUCCAUGUCCAUGACAGUAGCUAAGGCUAACAAGACUCUGACUGAGUCAUAUCUUACAACUGGGGCAAAAGUCUCUUUAUAGUCUAUACCUCUUCUUUGGCUGAACCCUUUGGACACCAGUCUUGCUCGAUAACGAUCAAUUUCACCAUUGCCUUUUCUUUUUAUGCGGAAAAUCCAUUUACAUCCUAUAGCUUUUGCAUUAUCAGGAAGGUCCAUCAAUUCCCAUGUUUUAUUUUUAAUAAGAGCCUGUUUCUCUUCAUUCAUAGCAAUUUCCCAAUUUAUUUUAUCUUUACUAGACAUUGCUUCCUCAUAAGUAACUGGCUCUAGGCUUUCAGCUAUCCAUGCACUAGCAACAUCACACUGUGAUGUCUUUCUAGGUCUAAGAUUGUAUGAGUGAGUUGGCCCACACGUUCCCUCCUGAGUAGAAUCCUCAUCUUGAGGUUG